GCCAGGUGCAGCGGUGCACACCUGUAAUCCCAGUGGCUCAGGAGGCUGAGGCAGGAGGAUUUUGAGUUCAAAGCCAGCCUGAGCAAAAGUGAGGUGCUAAGCAACUCAGUGAGACCUUGUCUCUA
rnacentral:sRNA from 1 species